AAACUGGCGGCAGGCUUAACACAUGCAAGUCGAGCGGAAACGAUGAUAGCUUGCUAUCAGGCGUCGAGCGGCGGACGGGUGAGUAAUACUUAGGAAUCUACCUAGUAGUGGGGGAUAGCACGGGGAAACUCGUAUUAAUACCGCAUACGACCUACGGGAGAAAGGGGGCAGUUUACUGCUCUCGCUAUUAGAUGAGCCUAAGUCGGAUUAGCUAGAUGGUGGGGUAAAGGCCUACCAUGGCGACGAUCUGUAGCUGGUCUGAGAGGAUGAUCAGCCACACCGGGACUGAGACACGGCCCGGACUCCUACGGGAGGCAGCAGUGGGGAAUAUUGGACAAUGGGGGAAACCCUGAUCCAGCCAUGCCGCGUGUGUGAAGAAGGCCUUUUGGUUGUAAAGCACUUUAAGCAGUGAAGAAGACUCCGUGGUUAAUACCCACGGACGAUGACAUUAGCUGCAGAAUAAGCACCGGCUAACUCUGUGCCAGCAGCCGCGGUAAUACAGAGGGUGCAAGCGUUAAUCGGAAUUACUGGGCGUAAAGGGAGCGUAGGUGGCUCUAUAAGUCAGAUGUGAAAUCCCCGGGCUCAACCUGGGAACUGCAUCUGAAACUGUAGAGCUAGAGUAUGUGAGAGGAAGGUAGAAUUCCAGGUGUAGCGGUGAAAUGCGUAGAGAUCUGGAGGAAUACCGAUGGCGAAGGCAGCCUUCUGGCAUAAUACUGACACUGAGGCUCGAAAGCGUGGGUAGCAAACAGGAU
rnacentral:rRNA from 1 species